rnacentral:rRNA from 1 species
GCACCGGCUAACUCCGUGCCCGCAGCCGCGGUAAUACGGAGGGUGCGAGCGUUAAUCGGAAUUACUGGGCGUAAAGCGCAUGCAGGCGGCCUGUUAAGUCAGAUGUGAAAGCCCGGGGCGUUAACCUCGGAAUUGCAUUUGAAACUGGCAGGCUAGAGUCUUGUAGAGGGGGGGUAGGAAUUUCAGGUGUAGCGGUGAAAUGCGUAGAGAUCUGAAGGAAUACCAGUGGCGAAGGCGGCCCCCUCGGACAAAGACUGACGCUCAGAUGCGAAAGCGUGGGGAGCAAACAGGAUUAGAUACCCCUGGUAG